rnacentral:rRNA from 1 species
GGCCAGACUCCUACGGGAGGCAGCAGUGGGGGAUAUUGCACAAUGGGGGAAACCCUGAUGCAGCGACGCCGCGUGAGCGAUGAAGUAUUUCGGUAUGUAAAGCUCUAUCAGCAGGGAAGAAAAUGACGGUACCUGACUAAGAAGCCCCGGCUAACUACGUGCCAGCAGCCGCGGUAAUACGUAGGGGGCAAGCGUUAUCCGGAUUUACUGGGUGUAAAGGGAGCGUAGACGGCUGUGCAAGCCAGGAGUGAAAGCCCGGGGCCCAACCCCGGGACUGCUCUUGGAACUGCGUGGCUGGAGUGCAGGAGGGACGGGCGGAAUUCCUGGUGUAGCGGUGAAAUGCGUAGAUAUCAGGAGGAACACCGGUGGCGAAGGCGGCCUGCUGGACUGCAACUGACGUUGAGGCCCGAAAGCGUGGGGAGCAAACAGGAUUAGAUACCCCUGUAA